GUAGAGGUAGAGGAAAUAGUACUGUAUAAUUGUCUUUGAAAUCACAAGCUGAAGAAUCUGUAAUCUUUUUCCUUUACAGAUCUCCUCCGGGAGUGGUGGGCAGCUACUGUGAAAGGCCUGGUUCAAAAACCUCACAGCGGUUGUUUUCAGAGUUGUCCCUCCUGUGUACUCUCAAAGCCCCAGAAUGAAGCAAAGCAUCCUCCCUUUUCAAACUGGCACUCUUCCCCAACCUUGAGGACCACUAGGCACUUUGUUUUUAAAGCCACAGUUACUUUUAUGGAGAAGUAUUGUUAUGAAAAAAGGGAGGCAUCUGAGGAGUGGAAACAGAGAAAUGAGUGACUGAGAUCAGUGUCUUAUUUUGACCAUCUUUUCCAAGUGCUGCAUCCUCCCAAACACAACAUGAACUCAACACUUAAUAAAGCUGCAGUCCUACGUGUUUUAUUUGUGUAAGAAACUAAGUCCAAAACAUUCUGCAACGCGAGUAAAAAUUCACUUCUGCAAUAUAUUAAACACACAUGAACACAG
rnacentral:lncRNA from 1 species